UACAGAGGGUGCUAGCGUUGUUCGGAAUCAUUGGGCGUAAAGGGUGCGUAGGUGGCGCUGUAAGUCGGGUGUGAAAUUUCGGAGUUUAACUCCGAAACUGCAUUCGAUACUGCGGUGCUUGAGGACUGGAGAGGAGACUGGAAUUCAUGGUGUAGCAGUGAAAUGCGUAGAGAUCAUGAGGAAGACCAGUGGCGAAGGCGGGUCUCUGGACAGUUCCUGACACUGAGGCACGAAGGCCAGGGGAGCAAACGGG
rnacentral:rRNA from 1 species